rnacentral:rRNA from 1 species
UACUAUGGAGAGUUUGAUCCUGGCUCAGGAUGAACGCUGGCGGUAUGCUUAACACAUGCAAGUCGAACGAGGAAAAUCUUAGGAUUUUUGGCAGUGGCGGACGGGUGCGUAACGCGUAAGAAUCUGCCUUUUGGAGGGGGAUAACUCGGGGAAACCCUUGCUAAUACCCCAUAAUGCUGAGAAGUUAAAGGUUAAUAACCACCAAAAGAGGAGCUUGCGUCUGAUUAGCUAGUUGGUGAGGUAAUAGCUUACCAAGGCCUUGAUCAGUAGCUGGUCUGAGAGGAUGAUCAGCCACACUGGGACUGAGAACGGCCCAGACUCCUACGGGAGGCAGCAGUGGGGAAUUUUUCGCAAUGGGCGCAAGCCUGACGAAGCCAUACCGCGUGGAGGAAGACGGCCCGUGGGUCUUAAACUCCUUUUCUCAGAGAAGAAGUUCUGACGGUAUCUGAGGAAUAAGCACCGGCUAACUCUGUGCCAGCAGCCGCGGUAAUACAGGGGGUGCAAGCGUUAUCCGGAAUGAUUGGGCGUAAAGGGUCUGUAGGUGGCUCGGGAAGUCCACUGUUAAAUCCCAGGGCUCAACCUUGGUCAAGCAGUGGAGAACUCCUAAGCUAGAGUUUGGUAGAGGAAGAGGGAAUUCCCAGUGGAACGGUGAAAUGUAUAGAGAUUGGGAAGAACACCAGCGGCGAAAGCGCUCUUCUGGGCCAAGACUGACACUGAGAGACGAAAGCUGAGGGAGAGAAUAGGAUUAGAUACCCUAGUAUUCUCAGCCGUAAACGAUGGAUACUAAGUACUGUCAAAAACAGCGCUGUAGCUAACGCUUUAAGUAUCCCGCCUGGGGAGUACGCUCGCAAGAGUCAAACUCAAAGGAAUUGACGGGGAUCCACACCAUCGGUGGAGUAUGCGGUUUAAUAUGAUGCAACGCGUAGAACCUUACCAGGGAUUGACAUGCCAAGAAUUUUUUUGAAAGAGAAAAGUGCCAAUUCCACUAGGAGUUGGAGCUUGGACACAGGUGGUGCAUGGCUGUCGUCAGCUCGUGCCGUGAGGUGUAGAGUUAAGUCUCGCAACGAGCGCAACCCUUGUCUUUAGUUAGAUAGUCUAAAGAGACUGCCGGUGUAAACCGUGAGGAAGGAAAGGAUGACGUCAAGUCAGCAUGCCCCUUAAACCCUGGGCGACACGCGUACUACAAUGGCGAAGACAACGAGAAGCGAUCCUGCGAAGGCUAGCAAAUCUUUUAAACUUCGCCCCAGUUCGGAUUGGAGGCUGCAACUCGCCUCCAUGAAGCCGGAAUCGAUAGUAAUCGCUGAUCAGCCAUGCAGCGGUGAAUACACCCCUGGAUCUUGUCCACACCGCCCGUCAAACCAAUCGAGUGAAUUGGACCCCAAGUCGUUACCCCAACCUCUAGGAGGGGGAUGCCCAAGGUUUGGUUCGCGAGAAUGGUUAAGUCGUAACAAGGUAGCCCUACUGGAAGGUGGGGCUGGAUCAACUCCUUC